GUCAACUAUAUCCUUCUUCAUUCCUGGCCACCAAUAUUGUCAUUUCAUGUCUCGGUACAUCUUGGUACUUCCAGGAUGAAUGGAUAACUUGGAAGAAUGAGCAGUCUUGAGUACAUUAGUGCGUACUACAUCGAGGACCCAAAUUUGGUUCAAGAAUAUGAACAAUCCAUCAUCAGAGAUCCUAAAAUAUGGAGAUUUGUUCGAAGUGAACUUACCCAGGUUCUUGAUG
rnacentral:lncRNA from 1 species